rnacentral:rRNA from 1 species
GAUGAACGCUGGCGGCGUACCUAAUACAUGCAAGUCGAGCGAACGGACGAGAAGCUUGCUUCUCUGAUGUUAGCGGCGGACGGGUGAGUAACACGUGGAUAACCUACCUAUAAGACUGGGAUAACUUCGGGAAACCGGAGCUAAUACCGGAUAAUAUUUUGAACCGCAUGGUUCAAAAGUGAAAGACGGUCUUGCUGUCACUUAUAGAUGGAUCCGCGCUGCAUUAGCUAGUUGGUAAGGUAACGGCUUACCAAGGCAACGAUGCAUAGCCGAACUGAGAGAGUGGUCGGCCACACGGGAACUGAGACAGGGACCAGACUCCUACGGGACGCAGCAGUAGGGUAUCGUCCGCAGUGGGCGAGAGCCUGACAGAGCAACGCCGCGUGAGUGAUGAAGGUGUUCGGAUCGUAAAACUCUGUUACUAGGGAAGAACAGAUGUGUAAGUAGCUGUGCACAGCUUGACGGUACCUAAUAAAAAAGCCACGGCUAACUACGUG